rnacentral:rRNA from 1 species
AGCGGCGGACGGGUGAGUAACACGUGGGUAACCUGCCCAAGAGACUGGGAUAACACCUGGAAACAGAUGCUAAUACCGGAUAACAACACUAGACGCAUGUCUAGAGUUUGAAAGAUGGUUCUGCUAUCACUCUUGGAUGGACCUGCGGUGCAUUAGCUAGUUGGUAAGGUAACGGCUUACCAAGGCAAUGAUGCAUAGCCGAGUUGAGAGACUGAUCGGCCACAUUGGGACUGAGACACGGCCCAAACUCCUACGGGAGGCAGCAGUAGGGAAUCUUCCACAAUGGACGAAAGUCUGAUGGAGCAACGCCGCGUGAGUGAAGAAGGGUUUCGGCUCGUAAAGCUCUGUUGGUAGUGAAGAAAGAUAGAGGUAGUAACUGGCCUUUAUUUGACGGUAAUUACUUAGAAAGUCACGGCUAACUACGUGCCAGCAGCCGCGGUAAUACGUAGGUGGCAAGCGUUGUCCGGAUUUAUUGGGCGUAAAGCGAGUGCAGGCGGUUCAAUAAGUCUGAUGUGAAAGCCUUCGGCUCAACCGGAGAAUUGCAUCAGAAACUGUUGAACUUGAGUGCAGAAGAGGAGAGUGGAACUCCAUGUGUAGCGGUGGAAUGCGUAGAUAUAUGGAAGAACACCAGUGGCGAAAGCGGCUCUCUGGUCUGCAACUGGCGCUGAGGCUCGAAAGCAUGGGUAGCGAACAGGAUUAGAUACCCUGGUAGUCCAUGCCGUAAACGAUGAGUGCUAAGUGU